CCAAGGCGCGGGUGGGGCCCGGGAACCGGGAAUCGAGGAUAGGGGAUUGGGAAUAAGGAAUAAGGAAUUAGGAACUGGGCACAGAGCCGACCCAGAGCCCCGGGGGCCUGCGGGCCGACACUUCUCACAAUGAGUCAGUUUUUCAAUGACGUUGAGCCAAACAUUAUCGAUGAUGAAAUGAUUCUGAAAGCCGUUGAAAAGACAUUUCCAGAGGACCUUGGAGAUCUCGCCCAAGGGGAAAAUAUUAACUUUAAGGAUGUGACAGAGCUGCAGCUUAGCUUUAAAAGUAUCCUGCAGAUUGAUAAUCUGUGGCAGCUGGAGAAUCUGACUAAACUGCAGCUGGACAAUAACCUCAUUGAGAAGAUAGAAGCUCUGGAGAGUCUGGUUCACCUUGUAUGGCUUGGUGAGAUAC